rnacentral:rRNA from 1 species
UGAGGAAUAUUGGACAAUGGAGGCAACUCUGAUCCAGCCAUGCCGCGUGUAGGAAGACGGUCUUAUGGAUUGUAAACUACUUUUAUACAGGAAGAAACCUCUCUUUGCGAAGGGAAUUGACGGUACUGUAGGAAUAAGGAUCGGCUAACUCCGUGCCAGCAGCCGCGGUAAUACGGAGGAUCCGAGCGUUAUCCGGAAUCAUUGGGUUUAAAGGGUCCGUAGGCGGGGUAAUAAGUCAGUGGUGAAAGUUUUCGGCUCAACCGGAAAAAUGCCAUUGAUACUGUUAUUCUUGAAUAAGUGUGAAGUAACUAGAAUAUGUAGUGUAGCGGUGAAAUGCAUAGAUAUUACAUGGAAUACCGAUUGCGAAGGCAGGUUACUAACACUUUAUUGACGCUGAUGGACGAAAGCGUGGGUAGCGAACA